AACGAACGCUGGCGGCAUGCCUAACACAUGCAAGUCGAACGAGACCUUCGGGUCUAGUGGCGCACGGGUGCGUAACGCGUGGGAACCUGCCCUUAGGUUCGGAAUAACUCCCCGAAAGGGGUGCUAAUACCGGAUAAUGUCUUCGGACCAAAGAUUUAUCGCCUUUGGAUGGGCCCGCGUUGGAUUAGCUAGUUGGUAGGGUAAAAGCCUACCAAGGCGACGAUCCAUAGCUGGUCUGAGAGGAUGAUCAGCCACACUGGGACUGAGACACGGCCCAGACUCCUACGGGAGGCAGCAGUGGGGAAUAUUGGACAAUGGGCGAAGGCCUGAUCCAGCACUGCCGCGUGAGUGAUGAAGGCCUUAGGGUUGUAAAGCUCUUUUACCCGGGAUGAUAAUGACAGUACCGGGAGAAUAAGCUCCGGCUAACUCCGUG
rnacentral:rRNA from 1 species